CAGCCUUUACACACGCACACACAUACACACACCUCUUGUCUGACUGUACAGAGAUAGUCGACAAGCUUUCAGGUUUGCCCACUUUUAUUGUGCUAAUAAUGCUAAGUGUGGAAACCCCCACCUCGUGCUGUUCUGUGUAAGUGUACCGCAACUGCAGGGUGCUCGCCUCCACUGCCAACUGAUGAUACACUAAAGAAAGCCCGUUUUUUAUCCAGAUGUAAAAUGAAGCUGCACCCCUCCUAUACCUGCCGGAAACUACAUCUCUCUGCACACACCCUGGGGUAAUACGCACUGCACCCGGCGAGUUACCUGGAAUACGUUUACUAAAUCGACAGGAAGAAGGAAAGAUCAAUGCGAUUCAAGUGCUGACGGUUGUACUCGUGAAGGAAAAAAACAAAUGCAAGCCGGGAAGUCCCCAGUGGUGCCUGCACCUAGGAGGCGACUGCAACGGAUGGAUGCGGGGGUAGAUAAUCAGCAACCCCCCAAGACUGUGCCUGCUGCACAACUACAGAACGCAGUGGAAGACACGCUGAAUUCUGAGUCAGAAGGUUGACUUUCUAGCUGUGGGGACUUGGCCAAACCUCCUCAGAGCUUCAGUUUUCUCAUCUGUAAAAUAGAGAUCUUAAUCCCUACCAAUCUCACAGGACUGCUGAGAGUAUCAGAUGAGCUCAGAUUCUCAAAGCAAUCCUGUAUGGUGAGAAUUAUUUUUAUUUUACCGACAAAGCUGCUGAAGAUCAGAGACAUUGAGUUACUCAUAGAAGAUAUACAGACAGAGCCAAGAUUCAAAUCCCUUGGGUGUCUGGCUCCAAAGUGGAAAUUUUCUCCACGGUGCCAAAGGACUCAUAAACAGAAUGUACAAAGGACUCUUACAAAUCAGUAAUAAAAGGACAAUCAAUGUUUUUAAACAAGCAGAAGACUUCGAUAAACACCACAUAAAAGAGAAUGCAUGCAUGGCCAAUGAGAACAUAAAAAAGAUGCUCAGCGUUGUUGGUCGUCAGGGAAGUGCAGAUUGAAAAUGCAAUGGGAUACCACUACACACCCGCCAGAAUGGUUAAAAUUUAAAAAUUUUAACAGUACCAAAUGUUAGAGAGGCUGUGAAGCAGCAGGAUGUUUUAUGCAUGGCCAGCAAAAGUAUAAAAUGGUAGAGCCAUUUGGAAAACUGGCAUUUUCUCAUAAAUAUUCACCUAUCAUGUGAUCUAAAAAUUCCAAAAGAAAUGAAACUAUAUGUCUACAAAAAAAGUUGGAUAAGAAUAUUCAUUGUAGCUUUAUUUCUUUUGUUGUUGUUGUUGAAACAGAGUCUCGCUCUGCCGCCCAGGCUGGAGUGCAGUGGAGCCGUCUCAGCUCACUGCAACCUCUGCCUCCCGGGUUCAAGCAAUUCUUGUGCCUCAGCCUCCCAGGUAGCUGGGACUACAGGCACGUGCCACCACACCUGGCUAAUUUUUGUAUUUUUAGUAGAGAUGGGGUUUCGCCAUAUUGGCCAGGCUGCUCUCGAACUCCUGACCUUGUGAUCCGCCUGCCUCGGCCUCCCAAAGUGCUGGGAUUACAGGCAUGAGCCACCGCACCUGGCCAUGGCUUUAUUUCUAAAAGCCAAACUUUGGAAACAAUGCCAAUGUCUAUCAAUAGACUAAAGAGAUAAAUUGAGAUUUUUCAUACUGUGAGAUAUUGCCCCACAAUAAAAAGGAGCAAACUAUUAAUGCAUACAACAACGUAGAUGAAUCUCAACAAUAUUAUGUUAAAUGAGAAGCACCAGACACAAAAGAGUACACACAAUGAACGACUCCACUUAUGUGAAGUCUAGCAACAGGAAAAACUCAUCUAUGGAAAUAGAAAUCAGAAUAGUCAUUGCCUGUGAGAAUGUAGAGGGAGGGUGGGCCACAGGAAAGGAGCAUGGGAAAAUUUUUUGGGUGAUGGCAAUUUUCACAUUUUGAUUAAACAAUUAAGUUUAAUCAAAUUAUACACUUAAGGUCUGUGCAUUUUACCAUAUGUAAUUAUGCUUUGAAUAAAAAUAAAUUAAAAUAAAGGGAUGAAAUGAGUUGCUUCUUCCAGUAUUAUGCUUUGGCACUGGAAGUAUUUAAGCUAGACUAAUGCUUAUCAGAGAUAUUGUGGACGGUUCAAAUUGGGAGUUCUGAUUAAGUAAUAAAAAACAAGCCCUCAGAUUUUAAGACUUCGGUGUGAUACUUGAUAUGUAAUGCUGAACUAAUCAUGUAUUUCGGAAUAGGCAAAACCUGCGUUCAUCUUCUAUUUUGGAGAACUCCACGUAGAUAUGGAAACUUAUGUUACCGAAAACUUUCUUGAAUCUGUUUAUUUUUCUUUUCUGAAAUUCUUCCCCUAUUUACCAUUACCUCUAACUACUUGCCUCCUGAAACGCAAACCUUUAGCCACUCUAUGUUCCUGUAUCUUAGAACAUGUGGUGUUUGCACAUUUCCUUUGUUAAACAUCCUCCCUACUCCCACUUCCCAUCAACUUCUGCCCUUCCUUGAAACUACACAGAAGUCAACUGCACCAGUAAGACUCCCCUAUAAGCCCUGUGGCCCACAGUUUUAGUCUAUUUUUGAGUCUAGAUUACCUGUAGUAUAGCAAUUAUCCCAGGCUAAAUGAUGCCAAGGUCCCUUCCCGCUCAAAGAGUCUGGCUCUUUGAACAGGGGAAUCUGGGCUUGAAGAAUGAAGAGAAACAACCAAGC
rnacentral:lncRNA from 1 species